GUUCGGUGCUGGCCUAAUUCCUUUUUUUGGAGUGUUUCUCCAUUUUCUUAAUUGUCUUAUUAAUUAUAAAAACCCAAAUGUCUUAAAAGAAUAUAUAUUUAUCUCUAUAUAAUAGGAGAGACAAAAGCAUCAUGUGAUGACAAGUAUCAUCACCACAAAAAUUAAAAUUUAAAAAUACAAAAUAAAAAUUAAAAGUUAAAAACUACAACAGUUAAAAAAAAAAAAAACUGCAAUGAGCAAAUUACUCACUCAGUAAAAUAAAAAAAAUAAAAGACCACAAGGACGUGGUUCCUCAGCAAAAUAAAGUUAAAAAGUUUAAAGAGAGUUGCAACUUCUAAAUCAGAAAGCAUAGUGUCUUUCUACAUUCUCUGGAAACGUUCCAACCAAUUUCUUGGCUUCCAAUUUCUACUUUUGGUUCAACUCUAGAAAUAGAGUAAAUCAAUCAAACAAUCCAGGGAGCAGAAGCAUUGAACCCCACAGUUUCAAAUCCAAUAUCAUGGAUGACGAGAACAUGUGCGUGGAAGGAACAGUUAAGAGCCCGUUUGGAUUAGCUUAUAAGUUGCUUAUAAGUUGUUUUUAGUUUUUUUGAGUGUUUGACUGAUCAGUUUAAAGUUAUUUUGUGCUUAAAAUAAGCUUAAAAAAAUAAUUUGGCCCAUUUGACUUAGCUUAUCUAAAGUAGCUUAUAAGCUAGUUAGACUACCAACUUAUUUUUUUUUAGUGUUUGCAGCUUAUAGUCAUAAGCCAAUCCAAACAGACUCUAAAUCUGAGAAGAAUAAAUUUGGGAUUGUCGAAGAUAAGAGAUUUUAGAUGAGAUGAGAGAUCUGAGGUUGAAUCAAACAACAAACGCCUGAUGUUGGUGUUUGUCUCUGAAAUUUGUAGUUUGUGUUUGUCCUGUUUGGAGUUCGGUUUAUUAUUCUGUGUACUUCGUUCGUCAACGGAAAUUGUAAUGCCGCUCAGAUUCCUCUGACUACCAUCAAUCACAAUAUUUAUCAUACAAGUGCUCCGUUUUUUCUAAAUUUAGAUGGUGGUUGUGAGGCGGUGAAGAAGCAAAGACAAGAAAGCGGCUGGAGUAAUGGUGGAGGAGGGACAACUGGGUUAUUAAUCCCCAUCUUCAUUGUAGUAUAUCUGCGACGAAGAAGAUCCAAACGAGUGAAUUGUUCUCCAGCAGAAACGUUAAUGAAGAUCACCCAAAUUCUCACCCACAGGAACGAUGAGUCAAAACAGAGAUUCUGGUGAAGCUUCUACAUGAGGCAACACCCCCUUUUGACGCUAAGAGAUUUUUGUCCACUGUUGCUAAAUUGGUCAAAAAUCUGUGUAUAUUUCACAUAGUUUUACCGUGUUCUGAAGAUUUUAUUUUUUCCGUAAUUUUUAAUGUAUUUUGGUUCUCUUUGUUUUGAAAGUCUUGUUUUCCUUACUAAUCUUGAAAAUUUCCUUUCUUAUGUGGUUAGAGAUCACACUAUGCUCUUUGUUUAUGAAUCAGGAGUUUUGGUUCUCUAACAUCUUCAUUUAUCAAUGCUAUGG